rnacentral:rRNA from 1 species
AUUGAACGCUGGCGGCAUGCUUUACACAUGCAAGUCGAACGGUAACAGGUUAAGCUGACGAGUGGCGAACGGGUGAGUAAUGCAUCGGAACGUGCCCGAUCGUGGGGGAUAACGCAGCGAAAGCUGCGCUAAUACCGCAUACGAUCUAAGGAUGAAAGCGGGGGACCGUAAAGCCUCGCGCGAUCGGAGCGGCCGAUGUCAGAUUAGGUAGUUGGUGGGGUAAAGGCCCACCAAGCCGACGAGCUGUAGCUGGUCUGAGAGGACGACCAGCCACACUGGGACUGAGACACGGCCCAGACUCCUACGGGAGGCAGCAGUGGGGAAUUUUGGACAAUGGGCGAAAGCCUGAUCCAGCAAUGCCGCGUGCAGGAAGAAGGCCUUCGGGUUGUAAACUGCUCUUGUACGGAGCGAAAAGGUCCUUUCUAAUACAAGGGGCUCAUGACGGUACCGUAAGAAUAAGCACCGGCUAACUACGUGCCAGCAGCCGCCGUAA